UACGUAGGGCGCAAGCGUUAUCCGGAAUUAUUGGGCGUAAAGAGCUCGUAGGCGGUUUGUCGCGUCUGCCGUGAAAGUCCGGGGCUCAACUCCGGAUCUGCGGUGGGUACGGGCAGACUAGAGUGAUGUAGGGGAGACUGGAAUUCCUGGUGUAGCGGUGAAAUGCGCAGAUAUCAGGAGGAACAUCCGAUGGCGAAGGCAGGUCUCUGGGCAUUAACUGACGCUGAGGAGCGAAAGCAUGGGGAGCGAACAGG
rnacentral:rRNA from 1 species